AUGUGGUUGUGCCGCGAAACGGCGAUCAUGCACGCCGGCAUGUCAGCCACGAGCCAGUGUUGCGUAACGAAGUGGAGCAACCGGAGUAGCCUAUGGUGGUGUGGAAUCAAUCGUCAGCGUAUUGAUGGUGUCCGCCAAAACAUCAAACUCGAGGAUCAGAACAUCAAUCAUUUUGCCAAAAUUCACCUCGACUGCAUCAUGACAUUGUUUGACGUAGUUGCAUGUGUGGUCAAAAUCAUCCCAAAUAUUUUUAGGAAUGCCAUUCGCAUACGUCUAAUCAUCCCGAAUAUUUUUAGGAAUGCCAUUCGCAUACACUAA
rnacentral:rRNA from 1 species